AGCGGCGGAUGGGUGAGUAACACGUGGGGAACCUGCCCCUAAGUCCGGGAUGCCAUUUGGAAACAGGUGCUAAUACCGGAUAAUAAAGCAGAUCGCAUGAUCAGCUUUUGAAAGGCGGCGUAAGCUGUCGCUAAGGGAUGGCCCCGCGGUGCAUUAGCUAGUUGGUAAGGUAACGGCUUACCAAGGCGACGAUGCAUAGCCGAGUUGAGAGACUGAUCGGCCACAUUGGGACUGAGACACGGCCCAAACUCCUACGGGAGGCAGCAGUAGGGAAUCUUCCACAAUGGACGCAAGUCUGAUGGAGCAACGCCGCGUGAGUGAAGAAGGUUUUCGGAUCGUAAAGCUCUGUUGCUGGUGAAGAAGGAUAGAGGUAGUAACUGGCCUUUAUUUGACGGUAAUCAACCAGAAAGUCACGGCUAACUACGUGCCAGCAGCCGCGGUAAUACGUAGGUGGCAAGCGUUGUCCGGAUUUAUUGGGCGUAAAGCGAGCGCAGGCGGAAAAAUAAGUCUAAUGUGAAAGCCCUCGGCUUAACCGAGGAACUGCAUCGGAAACUGUUUUUCUUGAGUGCAGAAGAGGAGAGUGGAACUCCAUGUGUAGCGGUGGAAUGCGUAGAUAUAUGGAAGAACACCAGUGGCGAAGGCGGCUCUCUGGUCUGCAACUGACGCUGAGGCUCGAAAGCAUGGGUAGCGAACAGGAUUAGAUACCCUGGUAGUCCAUGCCGUAAACGAUGAGUGCUAAG
rnacentral:rRNA from 1 species